GUGUUGUUUGUAAGGUUCUUGUGACACUUGUUUUUAUACCUCUAGGGUACUAGGAGGCUAGAGGACACCUUCGUUGGAGCAAACGAAGGGUUUCGUUUACCGUUGGUGGGUUUGACUUCAUGAAAAUGGGGCGAAAUGGUCCCUAUGCUUUCUAAACUCUUCGUAAAGUAUUUUUAAAUGCAUUUCUAUGCUAAUUGGAAUUUAUGUGAAUUUUAGAACACCUAAAAUGCAUGCCUUAUGUGUAAGUUAAAUUUCACUCUAUAUAGUAGAGCAAUCAAGGUUAUUUUCAUGCAUGUGGGGAGUGUUCAUGUGGACGAAUGGGAUUCUCGUCUAGUAUGCUAAUUUAGCUCAUAUUCGUGUAUGGGAAACAUUAUACUAUGUUUGGACUUAGUAGCAAAAAGUGUCAUUAAGAGGCACUUGAAACUAGUAAACUAUGAAACUGCAACUUAGAGACAUGAUGAUAGGCCAUUGUACAUCUGCUAUAUUCCAUGUUAGAGACAUGAUGACAUAGAGAUAGGCCAUUGAGAUACUUGAUAUAUUCCAUAUUUUUAGACAUGAGGACUUGGUACUUGAGACAGAUCAUUGCUUGCUUGCCAUUGUGCUCAUUCGCACAUGCUUGUGAGGGUUGCUCCCUACAAGCCGGCACUCCGGAGAUAGCCAUCGCGACAUAUGCUCGCCCGUGCGGGAUUGGGCGCCGAAGUGGAUUACCGUUGGGGAGGCUCAUCCCUAGAGUGGGGAUGUUGACUACCACGGGGCCAUUAGGCACGGCGCAGGCCAGACAGCCUUCGGGUGGGCCUUAUAUCAUUGGGACUUAGUGACAGAACAUGCUGUGUGGACUUAAAACUAUUAAAGUGGACUUAGACUAGAAUAGUAAACAAUGACAUCUUUACUAUUUUUGCAUUAAGGACAUCGGAUUGGUUGCAUUUCUAUGGGUAUUCAUGUAUACACAUCCAUGUACAUUUAUGUUAUAGUUGCUUAUUAUUAUGCCUAUCAUGCUAAGUAGAGACAUCUGGUUAUAGUAAG
rnacentral:lncRNA from 1 species